GUAACGGCAUGUUGCCUUCUCCUCAUCAACCAGAGGACGGCACAAUCUCUGAUCUGGAUGCCCCAAGCGCCACGAGAAACUCCAUGGUUCCAGUGCGUACCUCUUUUUCUUAUCAUCGGAGGUCUUACAGUGAGAUGCGGAUGCGGUACUCAGGCAAUGUUUCAAUGGGCAAAGACUCGAAGAUAGGCAUAUCUAGACAUUUGGAUUUACAACUUGAGCAUCCAGUUAAGGUUCCAACUGCUCUUGUGGGUACAAAUCAAAGUAUUUUUUCUGACGUUGACUCUAAUAAAUCUAGUGAGGCAAGGAAUAAUUGACAGGGUGAUAGCUCAUCCAGAAAUUUGGAGAAAACUGCUGAUCAGAUACAUGUAAUCCCCAAGAUCACUUGGCUUUUACAGACAGCAGAGAGUUGAAGAUCCAAAUGGACCCUUAAAGAUAUCAGAAAUCAAUAAUGAAACUGUUAAUGAUGCAAAAGAACCACCAUUGCUUGAUCUUACGUUCAAGAGGAUUACAGAAGUUGAACACACAACAAACACAGUUCAGGAUGACGGCAAUCUCUUGUGACUGUUGGGCCUUUCAGCCUUCUCAAGGUAUGAGGAAGCUUAGGAUCCAGAAAAUAUUUUUGCUGUUUAUGAUGGAAUCUUGAACAGAUUCUUCCAUAUGUUGUUCGCUGCUAUUCAGUUACAGUGUAGCCUCAAAUGCUAAUAAGUCCCAUUGCAGGAACAUAGAAGGCGGUUCUCCAAGUGAUAAUAGCUCAAAGUAAAAAGGAAUUGACAUGUAAUUUUCAAUCUCAUUCAAGUGCCAAAUCUCCCGAUCAGUGCUCAUAUGGGGGAACCAGUAGUUUUGAUCUGGGCUCUGCAACUGAAAAAAAAAAAUAUUCAUAGUUCUCUAAUGGUUUGAUUAGCAAGGGCUUAAGCUUUUUACUUUUCCUCUGUUUUAAUUUUUGGACAGUAUCUUGUUAUAGGUGCUAAUGUUGGCUGCUGUUUUCCUGUCUAUUAUUUCCUAUGAUCUUCUUUUCUGUGCUAAUGGUGACCUCCCCGACACCAUGAAAAAAUGAAGGGGAAAAGGAAGAAGAAAAAGAAGUGGCAUUAACAUCAGUGGUCAAAUGUUCACAUCCAUGCCCUGCUUUCUGACCUAUGAAAGUUGAUCUUUUAUGUUACCACAGUUUGUUGGAUUAGAUAAGAGGCUAAUGAGAUGGCAGUCAAAACUCAUUCUGGCUGAAUGAGAGGGAUGUGCUUGGAUCUCCAUAUUCGGCCUCUUAACCAUCAACAAUAACCCGUCUAAAACAUAAAACACCGGUUGCCACUAAGCCAUGAGGAGUUGUGAUUGAAGAAAAUGACAGCAGCUGCUCCAAAAUGUGGCUCUUCCAAUGGUCUGGGCUUGCCUGCUGAAGGCAACACAGGAAGUAAUGGGUUGGAAGCAUGUCAAAUAGUAAAAAUGAAGGCAAUGGCCUGAACAGGAGCAGUACAAUGUUGAAGGCUAUGGGGAUAAACAUAGGAGGUGAUAAUGUGAUAGCUGGGAAAAAUGGAAGUGUUGAUGCUAGUGAGAAGGAAUGGAAGCAAUUGAAACAAAAUAGAUCUCAUAGAGAGAAGCAGCUUUGGUCAAAUUUCAUUAAGAGAGAAAGGAGAGAUGUAUGAUGCUUCAAAAAUAUGGUAACUAGCUUAGUUGUUUAGAAAAAUGUUGCAUCCCUCAUAUAAGUUAUCCAAGAGGCAUGUGGGAGAUGCCUAUGAUUUUGCAAAAAGUAUAGGCAUUCCAUCAUGUCUAGCUAGAUAACUCAUUUGUAGGAAAUAACAUUGCUAAGUUGUUCUUUCACUAAUGCUAGGUGUUGGUAAAUUAUUGAAUAAAAAAAUUCUGUUUCACUUAUCUUCUCUUAGUUCUGUCCAAGUGUAUCUUUAUGCUAGCAGAAUUUAGUUUUCUUUUACAUUCUGCUUGUCAUAUUGAUUAGUAUGAAAUUAGAAACCUAAAAAGUACUCAUUCUAGAACCUACUGGUGAGCCCAUAUGGCAUAUUGAAAGACACAUCAACAAGAUGACAAGUUGAGAGCUAGCAUAUGUUUUUUUGGUGUAAUGAAAAACACUGCUAGAAGUAAUCAAGCUUGAUGUUGUCAUAGCUUAUCAUAAAAAAAUAAAAAAAAAAGCUUGAUGUUGUCAUAGCCUAAUCAAGCUAGUAUGUGAUGUAUCAUAGGUCUGUUCUUAUCCAUAGUUUGCUUGUCUAGGUUUUUCCUUGAAUUUUCAUCCUUAUAUUUGGUCCUAGGGUUUUCUGUAAUUAUUUUUCAGACCUGGUGCUUCCAUCCUGCUAUGAAAUGGGAAAUCCCAUUUCAUAGCAGGCUACUUGGAUUUCUCAGCCACCCGAACCUCCUCAUACUUCUUAAUAUCAUGCAUGAUAUAAUAAGUUGUCCAUCUUGACUCCUUUAGUACUUUUCUUAACAUAGGAGAUGGAACCUUAGGUUAGUAUGAUGGCUAAAACUGCAACAAGGUUUCAGCAAACCACUAAGUUAAAAAUGAUCUGACUAGUUUUCCUGAAUUAGCAACUUUUCUUUGUGCCUCCUGUUGGCCAGAAGCUGUUACUUGUGAAAUUGGGUAUAACAAUGACCAAUAGAACAUGGGACCUAGUUGACUAAGUGCACCAGAGAGUUGGAGACCUACCAUGUAGAAGCAAAGCUGUUGGCUGGAAAUGAUGUUUCUUUCUUUUUCUUAUUCUUUUAGGCAUUGAACUUGAUGGAUAAGUGGUCAAACAAAACGGAUUAGUAGUUAAUUGAACCCAUAAUAAUAGUCUGUUGUACCAUAACUAGACUAUUAUUGUUGUUUAAGAAUGAAGUCAUGUAUUUUUACAAGAAUGAACUUAUGUACCAUCAUAAUAGGAUCUAGAAAAAUAUACUGAUAGUUAAAUUUUUAGGGCAAACAAUACUGACAAUUGAGAUGUGCAGAUAUUAUUGAAAGCGUGUUUUUAAUAUUAGUAGGUUUAUUAUCUUCUUCCAGAGUGAUCAUCAUUAUAUGGUGAAAAUUUUAAUUUGAUUACAGGUUCUAUGGUUGGUAAGUAUGGUUUCAUGUAGGGACAUCAGAUCUUUGCAACUAGCCUAUCUCCCACCGUCUUACUAUAUUCUGGUCACUAGACCAUUAAAGUGAGGAAUCCUGGCAUGUUGGUAAAAAAAUAUAACUUUAGUAGUGCAGUUGUCCAAUCAAUUGGGUCAUCUUACACUGUUUAUUGAGAUCAAAAGGUCUGCUAAGAAAUGUACUAUUAGUGGAACUAUCAGAAUAAAUUGAUAGGGAAAGGGACUAAAAAGUAAUGGAUUAUAAAAAAUAACCAAACUACAUAUGUACGUUGGGAUUGCAAGAUCUAGUUGUGAUGGAGAAGUAAAGUUCUUAAGUAACUUUUGAGUAAUAACAAGUAGCCUUGAGGGAGCUCCGUGACUAUUCUUAUGUAGUUCUAAUGCUGUAAUAACAGAGAGAUGAGUUAUUUAAUAUUAGCUAUCCAUGGAAUAUAUAGUUACUCAAUGUCUUUGAUAAGGAAACCCAUUUGUGUGUGGAAGCAAGGUUCCAUUUGAACAUAUGUUGAUUCCUCAAACUAUUGGUGGUAGGAGGUCUGCCGAACUCUGAAAAUGCAUGAACAAUAGAACUUGACAAUGGCUUGAAAAGAUGUGUCACUUUCAGAUAAGAAUCUUGUUGAGCAGCAGCUUUAGAAGACAAAAUGUUUUAACCACUAGAAAGGUUCACAUGCAAAUGCAAAAGACACCCUUCUCAUGCAGCGUAUCAUUUCAUCCUAUACUGAUAAAUUUGUAAAAUAUUGGGGAGAGUUAGAUUGUCUAAAGUAAGCCAUGUUUUUUCAAAUAUAUUCAUUUAUUCUUUUAGCUGGUUCUUAGAAUGUGUGCAUGUUUGUAAGAGAGAGUUUUCCCUUUGUUUUUCGAAUGGGUUACCCCUAGUAAGUAGGAGAAUUGGAACCUAAUGGCUUGAAGUCAGUAGUCCCAGCUUUUGGUCCAUGUUUUUCGAAUGGGUUACCCUUGGUCAGUAGGAGAAUUGGCACCUAAUGGCUUAAACUCAACAGUCCCAGAUUUUGGUGCAUUUGAGCAUGCUUCCAUGCUAGCCUAUUAACCCACCCAUUGGAAAUGCAUGCUUUGUUUACAUUUUGAAUCCUUGCAUGUUUAUACAUUUUGAGCUCUUACAAAGUUUUCAUUUCUGUUUCAAACAGAUACUCUGAACAAAUACAGUUGUCCCCUUGAACUAGUUUGGAGGUGACCUUCCUACGGAUAUUCAAAAGCCCAAAAUCUCGCCUUCCAGAUCAGCUAGUGAUCAAGAUUCUUCAAUCUAUCUUCAUGAAAUUUUCUCUUAUCAUAGAUACUGUUUAAAUUUUCUCUUAUCAUAUUGGCUGGCAAGUAUUAUUUUCAUUAAAUCUUAUAUUUGGUACAUACUGUGUAACACAACUUGCUGUUUCUUACAUUGGCAAGGACAUACAAUAUGAUGCAACAGAACAGAACAGAUAGUAUACAUAUGUGAAGAUGCUCAAAAAUCUUCAUGGAUAACUGAAAAUUUCUUAUUCCUUAUUUUCUGGAUACAGAGUGGGUUUUUUCAAAGGGGGAGGACUCUCUUUCUCUUUGUUGCCUGUGAUUUCUUUUUACAGGCAUUUUUCUGUAUAGGUGCUGGUAUUCUUGUGAAGGGGUUGGCUUUUCUGCAAGCUGCCACAUGCUUUGUUGACUUUUGGGAAUAUGGGGACAAGAGUAGUUGUGCUCAUCUUUUUAGGCGCAGGUCCGUCGGUCAGGUCAAUGGUCAACCUGCAAGUUUGGAGGUCAUUUUUUUUCAUGGUCCUUAUUUUAGGGUGAGGUGAAUUUGUGCACCCUCAGGUUUUGAGAUAGACCAUUCUCCUGGUGGUUUAAUUUUUGGUAGCUCCAAUAUGUAUGUCUAUAUAAUCAAUAUAUAUGUAUCACAUAUGCCCCCAAUGUUUUCCCAGUGGAACAGACUUCGAUAUUUUUUUUGUAUUCAGCUAUCAAAACAGCUGUUUUGUUGCUAUUGAACAAAAGAUAAGCUUGCUUGUCAAGUGUUUAGAGACUUGGACAAAAGAUAAAUGGGGGUGUAAGGUAGGGGAGGAUUUAUGUAUAUGGGGACAGCUUCCUCCUGGGAUAAAAAACAAGAAAAAGUGAGUUGGUUGUUUCAUCUUUUCUUCAGAUACAAUACUCUGGAUUACAUAUCAUUGUUGAAAAUUUGGAUAGAACUAACUGUUUGUUUUGAUUUUCAGGUUUGAUGUCAGACCAGGGAGAUGAUGGUCGCAAAAUUUGUGUGGAAGAUGUUCACAACAAUGCAAGCAGGAGCACGAUGGAUUCUUUUGAAAUGCUACAACUGCCCCUACUUUUAAAGGCCUGUGUCUUCACAUGCAGCUAUGGGGCCAUAGAUGACAGAUGGUGUUCGAGAUUAUAAUACCAACAACUUAAACUUUUAGGAAAACCAGUUGUUCAAGGCAAAAGAAUAAUGCAAGUCAUUUUACCACCUACAAGGCAAGGUGAAAACUCCAAAGCAGAAAGCCUUUCCCUUUUGAUCUUUACAUAUAAGAAUAUAAUAAUGUACAAAGUUAGAAAAAUAUUGUACCCUUGUAUCAAGUAGCACAAGUAGCAAAAGAAGGUGUGGUACCAACAUGGAAACCAAGUAUGAAGCAAAAU